UUUCUUUUUUUUUUUGGUUGAAAAAUAUGUCAAGCUCUAGUAUUCAUCCUAUAUUUAGGGAAACUUACUCUCGAAAAAUGACGAUGACACCACCACCCCAACUUUGAUGUCUCUCUUUUUAGUUUGGUCAUUAAAAGAACGGCAGUGAUGGAUGGUGAUAAUGCUGUGGAUUUUAUGAGUAAUCAGGCCUUGGCAGCCACACUAUUUCUUUUGUAGUGAAACUUCAAUAUUCCUUUGGCCGUGUGUAAACUUUUUCUGCUUUUGGAACUACGUUGCACAAGUUACUCACUAAGCAUUACAAAACAGUUAUCACCCAAAAGUUAGCGCUUAAAUUUAACACCUGACAGGCUGAAGUUCCACACACACCCCCCCUCCCCCCAGCACACAGCUCUCCUGUAACAGCCCUUCUGUGUCCCGGCACUGCUGCCUUGGCAGGAGGAGAGCGGAGGAAGGCAGCGGGCUGCUGGCAGGUCCUGGCAGCAGCGAUGAGAUGAAUUGUCCAGCUGUACGGCCAAGCCCUGCACGCAGGACAAGGCACCCCCGGAACCCCUGCUCUCCUCGUCCCCUUUCGCAUGCUUUUUAGUGAAUUUGCUGCAACAAACACCAGGUGUCUCCACUUAGCUGGGCUACAGCUCCAGAAAGGGGGCUGCGACCAAAGAAAAACCCAACAAAACGGGGGGAAAUAUAUUAGGGUGUUUCUUUCCGUUGCUUCUAAUCUGCCUGCUGCAAGGCUGCGUGUGUGCAGGGAAGAAGAGAGCGUAUAUACACGCAGAUAUUCUUGUACCGGCGUCGUAUUUUAUUUUGUCACUUGAUACGCCUCUGUCAGGCGAGGCAGGACUUUCCAGAGUUUGAAAUAAUCCAAAUUCAAUCACUUUAAAGCUGCUACGAUAUGCAAGUCCUGGCAGCCGUUUUAAAUUAAUGGGACAUCAGAUGUGCUCUGAUCCUCUCGAUUUCCUUGGGCAAGAGAAAUUCUGCCGCAGUGGUAGCGGGAGGGGAAAUAUAGGGCUAUCAGUAAAAUAAAUGUCAGCUUUUGUCUGCUGAUAGAAAAAUGCAUACAGCAAAAAAAGAAAAACACCCCCACAAUAUUUAUUUCUCUGUAAUUAAAAUGUAUUUCUAUAUGCAGCAAGGAUUAUCUCAGUGGUUUGGACAAGCAACACUGUGCAGCCUGAUCCACAUGAACACACAUUAAACCAAAAUACAAAAUUGCUUUUCAUUCGGUGUUGUACAAAUACAGCUAAAUAUUUUGUUUCGGUCUAGAUGUUUAUUUUUUGUGCCUGCUGGCCUGUUUAUCAAUAAAAAUGUUGGAAUUCCCACCUUGAAAGCCCAGUUCCAUAGCAUAGGUGGGAUUUUGGCAGGAACUGGGGGGAAAAAAACCAAACCAAAAAACUCCAUAGCAGGGUGCCAGCCC
rnacentral:lncRNA from 1 species